CCUGAGCAGAAGGGCUCACAUUUCGUGCCCUUGAAAGGGGGCCCAUAACGUCAGGCAUUCUUUUGGUUCUCCUUACAAAGAGCAUUUUCCACGCAGACAGCUCUGCCUGCUCCACGUACAGCGGGUACAGGCUAGGUUUGUGGUGGGAGAGGUGCUGUAGGAUGUACUUCGACGAAAGGCGUUCUUUAAAAACGCCUUAAAACGCGGAGCACAGCACACGAAGGACCCGAAGGACUCUCGUCCCGUCACCACCCCCUCAGGGGACAGGAGGGCCAGCGGCACCGGCCGCCCGCAGGUG